AGUGAACGCUGGCGGUAGGCCUAACACAUGCAAGUCGAACGGCAGCACAGUAAGAGCUUGCUCUUACGGGUGGCGAGUGGCGGACGGGUGAGGAAUACAUCGGAAUCUACUUUUUCGUGGGGGAUAACGUAGGGAAACUUACGCUAAUACCGCAUACGACCUACGGGUGAAAGCAGGGGAUCUUCGGACCUUGCGCGAUUGAAUGAGCCGAUGUCGGAUUAGCUAGUUGGCGGGGUAAAGGCCCACCAAGGCGACGAUCCGUAGCUGGUCUGAGAGGAUGAUCAGCCACACUGGAACUGAGACACGGUCCAGACUCCUACGGGAGGCAGCAGUGGGGAAUAUUGGACAAAGGGCGCAAGCCUGAUCCAGCCAUACCGCGUGGGUGAAGAAGGCCUUCGGGUCGUAAAGCCCUUUUGUUGGGAAAGAAAAGCAGCAGGUUAAUACCCCGCUGUUCUGACGGUACCCAAAGAAUAAGCACCGGCUAACUUCGUG
rnacentral:rRNA from 1 species